GUCAAGAUGGAUAAGGGUAUUUUCCGGAUGAUCUUAUGCGGAAACCCGCACCGAAGUUUUCGUGGUCAUCUCUCUGUCAUCUCCCAUCGUUUGUCUUCGUCUUCCACGUUCAAUCGCCUCAUCAUUUUCAGGCCUCGACUAAAUUUUUGCUGUUCGGUUCCAAUUCUUGAAAACUGGAGAGCCACCGCCCGCACCGUCAUGGCCCUCCGACGACCACUGCCCCAAUUUCAACCACCAGUUUGAUCCUUAUGUUCAAUACCCCAAUCACCAUCCGGACCCCUUUUUGGCCAGCCUAAUUAUCCCCCACAGUACUCGCACCAUCCGCCACCACCGCCGCAGCACCAGCCUCCGUUCCAGCACCCGCCACCGCACCAGCAGAAUAACUGGAACCAUCCGGAGUUCCACAAUCAUCCCCCGGAUUAUCGUCCUCAGACGCACUUUAACGGCGAGAUGAGUGAGGGGUUUGGAAACGGCGGUUUGAGGCCGAAUUGUGGGAAUCAGAAUGCAAAUUUGGGGCGUAAAAGGCCUAGAAUCCAUUCCGACAGAACGGUUCCUGCAGAUCAUGCUGAGGCUAGUGGCCUCGUGAAAUUGUAUGUUGCACAAGUUCCCUGAACAGGAACCGAAGAAGCUAUUCGUCCUUUGUUUGAAGUCCAUGGAGAUAUUGUCGAGAUCAACUGGUCAACAGAAAGGUAGUUGCUUUGUGAAUUACGCUACCUCGGUUGAAGCAGACAGGGCAAUCAGUGCUUUGGACAAUCAGUAUACUUUUCCUGGAGUGAGUUAUUGUUUAUAGCCGAUUGACGAACAUAUUAUAUGGAACACUUUUGAUCUUAUUUUGAAAGUACGUUUCCGAUCAAAAUAAAUCAAUAAAUGACUAGAACUGACACCUAUGAAUGUGAAAUAUGCUGAUAGUGAAAGAGACCGCCUUGAGGCAACAACAUUUCAGACAGUCCGAGAUUUGGUCAUCCUCCUCAACCGUUUAGGUAUAUCGUGUACUCGGUUCCUUUUGUCUAAUUUGAUAACAUAAAUUGUUUUCUUGUUGUUUUAACCUUUUCUAGACCUGAGCCCCUCCUCUUGGUCCUCCUGCUGGAGGAUGUUUUCCUAAUAAUUCAUAUCCUGGACAACAAAAUUCUACAAUCUUAGGAUCACCAAGGAAUGCUUCCCAAGAGGCAUCCCAUGCCCCUUUGGCUCCCAAUGCUGUACAGAGACCACCCCCCAAAUACAAGAACCUUCAUCAUCUUUGGUCAAAUUUCAUCUCAACCAAUGCAAGCAACACAGCAAGCUUGUCAGCCUCCAAUGUAGACUGAUUUUUCUAAGAUGCAGAAUCAGGAGCGUUGUCAACAGCCCUAGCAGGAUUCACAUCUGCAGCAGAAUUUACAGGUUCAUGAGAAUACGCCUCCUAGUGCACGUGGCGUUCAAACCUCUAGUGGUACUCCCAAAUCACCUCGGAGGCGUCCAAGCUCUCGGGUAGAAGUUCCUUUGGAGUGUGAUUGGAGUGAACACAGCUGCCCAGACGGUUUCAAAUACUAUUAUAACUGUAUCACCUAACCUAUGAAAGUUUGUGGGAGAAACCAGAGGAGUUUACCUUGUUUGAGCAACAAUUGAGGCAGGAAAAGCUUAAAAAAUCGAACCAUCAGCUUCAUUCUUCAUUAGCAGGUCUCUCAUCUCCAGAAGUGCUGCCUCAGCCAAAUCUCGAGUCAAAAACUUGAAGUCCAAUCUUCCUCAGCUGAGUUGGAUUGUAUGCGACUUCAAUCCAAAGAAAGUCCUGUUGUUAUUCCAGCCUGUGCUUAACAAUGUUGUCCAAGUUAUUAGGAAGGUUAUUUAAGAGAGUUCAUCAUGUUGGCAACUAACAUUAAUCCUUUAAUGUCUAGCAAUUACAAUGUGAAUUAGGAUGGUAACGAAGACUACAUGUUAGCUGCUCGGCUCGCAACUUAGACAUUUGGAUUGCUCGUGUAAAGCUGGUGUUCCAUGUAGUCUAUCAACUAUCUAUCCUGCAAACUCUUGGUGCAGUAUAUGGACCACCAAAAAAUGUUUUGUUCCCCUCUCCAACCGAUGUGGGAUCUCACAUGUACGAGAUUAAAGGACAUUGUAAAUUUAGUGUACUUGAGAUAUACGUCGAACUUCUGUUGAUAUAGUUGAGAGUAUUCAUUUGUAAUCCGUUAAGCUCUGUAUUUGAGGUCAACUUGAUCUGUAUAUAUCUUUUUAUUAAGACGUUUUCAAAUUGGUUAAUCAUAGUUUAGUGGUCUGCAGGUGCCUACAACAGUAGACGGACAAUUGGGUACGGAGGUUGGUUCCCAUCAACUGUUAUGGAGUAAUUUGUAAUAAGUAUUUAAUUCCUGCUUCUUUUUUUUUUCUUUUUUUUUUUUGUAAAAAUAUUUUAAAGUCGUUUAAUUAUGGAAUGCAUAUAUGUAGUACAUUCAUUUAA